rnacentral:lncRNA from 1 species
ACAAUUGCAGUCCCGAUCUGGUUGGUUAUGCUGAUGCUGGGUAUUUAUCUGACCCACACAAGGCUCGAUCUCAAACAGGUUAUGUGUUUACCUGUGGAGGCACUGUCAUAACUUGACGAUCGACUAAGCAAUCAAUUGUGGCUACUUCAUCUAAUCAUGCUGAGAUAAUUGCUAUUCAUGAAGCAAGUCGAGAGUGUGUGUGGUUGAGGUUUAUAAUACAUCUUAUUCGAGACAAAUAUGGUUUGAAAUGUGACAAGUUACCCAUAAUUUUGUAUGAAGAUAAUGCAGCAUGCAUAGCUCAAUUGAAGGGAGGAUUCAUAAAAGGAGAUAGAACAAAGCACAUUUCACCUAAAGUAUUUUUCACACAUGAUCUUCAAAAAGAAUGGUGAUAUCAAAUGUACAAACAGAUUCGUUCAAGUGAUAAUAUGGCUGAUUUGUUCACAAAAUACUCUACCAACGUCAACCUUCAAGAAGCUAGUGUACAAAAUCGGGAUGCGAAGGCUCAAUGAUGUGAAUUGAUGCUUUCAUCAGGGGGAGUUAAUGCGCGUUGCACUCUUUUUCCCUUACAAGGUUUUGUCCCACUGGGUUUUCCUUGAAAGAUUUUUAACGAGGCAACCAAAAGACGUAUUAUUAGAGAUGUGUACUCUUUUUCCUUUUCUAGAAUUUUUUUCCACUGGGUUUUAUUUUAGUUAAGGUUUUAAUGAGGCAUAUUACUUAUCGAGUAGACAUUUAAGGGGGUGUGUUAUGAAUAGAAUUCUGUUUAGAGUGAAUGUCUAUCUUAUAGAGAGUUUUACUUUGUGGAUAAGUCAUUUUUCUCCUAUAAAUAGAGGGGUCUUACCCCAUUGUAAAUCAUCCCAAAAUUCAAUAAGAAUUUCUUCUCUCUCUUUCUCUGCAAUAUUGUUCAUCUACUUUUAUUGUUCAUCACAAGAUUGAAAUUAUUCGGAAUUGUACAAUGACGAUAAAUUUUGUAUGUAUAUGAAUUGUGAUGUUUGCCAAACUUUUAUUUAAUUUUCGAAAACGACUCCAAUUAUAUAUUGAGGUAGCUGAAAUUUUAUAAUCGAGAAAAUUGAAAAACGCAACCUAGAAUACUUUCGCCAUCAUUAUUAAGAAUAUCAAACCAGAUUGCAAUUUAAAUAUAGCAAAAUUAAGGCAAAAUACAUAAGUUACCCUGAACUAUGGACUAAAUCCAUGUUACACACUUUUUGUGGACGAAAAUUACUUUACACAUUCAACCUUUCCAGAUUGUGCCUAAGACACACCUCUUUAUCUAAGUGGCAGGUGCAUGUUUUACAAACAAAAUAAGGCGUCUGAACUAUAAAAACUGUACAUCUCAUGCUUUAUUUAAAGGGUUCAGAUUUAAUAAAACUUAUCCAACAGUUAAAUAAAUUUUCUUUUUGUCCUUUUCCAAUAUCUUCCUUUUUUUAUUUUUCUAAAAUAAUUUGGUUCAAGUUGGAGAUAAUAUAGAUGUUUACUAUCCAUUUUAUCCACUUUCAAUUAAGAAAUCUGUUAAAAUUGUAAUAGAUCGAGGAAAAAUAUCUAGAAAAAUCGAUUCAGGAAGAAAUUUUUAACAGUGUAGAAGAAUUUGUAAUGAAAUCUUCAAGUGAGAUUAGAAGAACAAUGUAGAAGAAUCUUCUCUUCUUUUUUUCCUUUUCAAUGGGGCAGCCAUGGAGAAAACCCACUUGUUAUAUCUGAAAAAUUUUCAACAAAAAAAAAUGCAUCAGAAGGUAGGACCAGUUGUUUAGGGUUUCUAUUUCUUUUGUUUGAAUUGUAAGGUGGAGGUCUGAGUUCUUUGGUGGUCGGUGACAAUGGAGAUACUGAGAAGGCUGUGGAAGGUGAGUAAUGGUGAUGGGACGGUGAAAACUAGGUUAUAUUUUUCAUCUAUCUAUAAUUUUUUCUUGAAUAUGUGUAUGUUAAUUGAUGAAAAAUGAAAGAGAAAUGUUGAUGAAGAAAGAGAUAUGAGCUGAAAAGCUCUGAUUGAAGGCACGAUGAAGCCUCAAGGAGAUGAGUUUCUUUCCAUUUUUGCUUUUUGUUAAAAAAAAUUGGGUGGGGUUUGUUUUUCUUUUUCUUUUUCAUUUUUUUAAGUUAAUGACACGUGUCGUUGUAUGACUGGUGCGUGAUAUUACACAUGUUUUGAAAAACUGGUCAAGAAAAAAGUUGUGUGUUUUAGGGACACUCUGAAAUGAUUGAGUGUGUAAGAUAAUUUUCGUCCGCAAAAAGUGUAUAACAGGGAUUUGGUCCAUAGCUCAGGGGGUAACCUAUGUAUUUUGCCCAAAAUUAAUAAUGUUCGAAGACAACGUAGAAUGGAAUGACAAAGACAUAUAUAAUUAAAUAUGUCAAGAUUAAGAAUUUUCAAAAGAAGAAUAUUUUGCAUGGAUUUGAUGUUUGAAUUUGAGAAAAUGCAUAAAGUACCUGUUAAACUUGUCCGAAAAAUUACUUACACACCUAAAUUUUACGGGCGUUCUUUUACCUCCUUAUUCUAAACUUAAGUGAAUUUAAUACUCUCUUGAGUGAUGACCUGGCGUGAAAAGUAUAGUUCAUUUCGUAGAUGCGUGUUGUAUACGGUAAAAAUAAGAGGAUCCGAUUUUGUGAUCAUUAUGGCAUUUCGUGAGACCGCCCCUGAAGCCUCAAGACCCAGCUCGAGGUUCGACCCCGAGGGUUCUUAAUGAUCGACCUCGAGGUAGUGCAAAUCAAAAACUAUGAUGGACAAACGGGAAGUUUUCAAGGCACGUGAUUAAAGCUAACAAAGUCUAUUAGACUAGUUCAAGCCCGUACCGUGACAUUAAAUGGCUGUACCAACCUCAUAUCUUUGUAAUAAAUACAUUUGUACUAUGUUGGGAUUCUCCCUCAUAUAUAAAGGGGACCCUUGUCAUUUUGUAACAAAACACAACAUUCAAUACAAGAACAAGAACAUUAUCUGCUCUCUAACUUAAACACAUUCUCCCUUGAUUCUAUUAUUUACGUUUAUUGCUUACAUUUACUAUGUUCUAUUAAUUGUUCUUCAUUUAUUGCUCACUAGUCUUAAAGUACGCGCGUUGCGCGUGUAACCUAUCUAAAUGAGUAUAAAACUUUUAAAAAUUUAUAUAAUAUUAUUUUUGAAUUAAAAUAAGUGACUGAAUUUAUUUUAACAAAAAUAAAUUUCAUAUUUUUGUUAAAUGUCAUUCUUUUAUAUUAAUUUCAUAUCAAAAUAGUCAUCUAGGUACCAUGUAUUCUAAGACAAGUUAACUACAAAGAGAAAAAAAUUAGCGACAAAUAAAUUAUGUAGUUAAAUAAUAAAAUUCAUCGCUAUCCUACUUAGUGACAGAAUCAGUUAUAUAUUACAAAAAAUCCUAUUAGCUAUAAGAUGAGUUUAGUAACUAAUUCAUGUUUAAAAGUUAAAUUAUGUAACAAACUUUCUUAGUAAUAAUAUUAGGUUCUUUUUUACCAAAAAAUAAAAGUCCUUUUCCAUUUAUUUAUUUUAACAUAUGCAUUGAGGUAAUUUAGGUAUUUCUGUAAAUUAAAUUAUGAUAAUUAAUUUUUUUAUCACAAAUUAAUGAUUACUAUUUUUCAACAAUAAUUACUAUUUCAAAACCUAACGUCGUAGUAAAUUUUAACGAAUUUAACAACCAAGCUUCUAAGAAAAUACUUAUGAUUUAAGUUUUUAAAACAACAAAUAAAUCAUAUGAAAGAAAAAUAAAGGCAAAAUUGGUCUUUAUGAUUAAACAAGGACAAAGAAUAAAAAAUAUCACACAAAAACGUGAAUUUUCCUUGUUGGAAACAAACAAAAAAAUUUCCUCCGUACUUUUUUUGUAUUCUUUUAUGUCUUAAUAUAUUGUAUUCUUAUUAGGAGAAGAUAUCAAACACUAAAUUAUAUUAAAUUUUUUUAAUUUAGAACUCCUAAAUAUGGGGAAAGUUUUUUUAUUUUAUAAUUUUGUCCAAUGUAAAAUAUGUUUUUAAAGGGUAAAAAAGGCGAUCGACAUUUCGCUAAGGGUCUUUGUGCUUUUAAUAUAGUAUAGAUUAUUGAUCAUAAAGAGCCUUCAUCAAAGCUCUCAAAACUGUUAGUCCUUCGUCGGUUGUCCAUAGCUUAGUAUCGAGCUCGGCAUCGAGGCCCCGAUUCUCAGCCACUCGGUUUGCUUAAACAUAUUGCUUUCAUGUUCUUAUUUUAUUUUUUAGUCUCAUACUUGUCACACCUCCUUUUACACACCCGAGGGUAUAUGAGAGUUUUUUCAAUUAAAGUGACAUUAAUUGAAAUGAGAUUAAUUAAAUUAUCUGAGUCGCCACUUGGAAUAAAUUAUUUGGUGUCCCAAGUCACCGGUUUAUUUUAAAUCCCAAAUCGAGGAAGUUUUUGACUUUAUUUAAAAGUCUGCGAACCAGAAAUUCUAAGUAAAGAAUUCUAAUUACUCAUUUUAGGAUCUAUAUGCAUUUACCUUUUACCGCUUUUAAUCACUUGAUUUAUUAGUAAUUAAAGAAUUGAGUUACGCGUACGUAUACUCAUUUUCCUUGGCGCGUCAAAAAUCAUGUCAUGCGAACGUGUCCACAAUUAAUGACGCUUUGUUUAUUUUAUUAAGAAAAGUUUGAUUGAAGUUGCGCGAACGCAUCCCUCGAGUCUUUUUUUUAGAAUCAAAUUCGCAAUUAUGUUACGCGAACGUAAACAUAAUCACGAUGAUUUAUUAAAAGCGUGCUUAAAAAUAUACUAGGUGUAUGUAAAUUAUUCUAUGGAGAAUUGUCCUAUAUGUUAGAUUUAAGAAAAAGCUGGACCAACUAAAUUCAACCCAAAUGCAUGGCCUAAAUGGCUAAAAUGACAAAAAGAAAUGAAAACCUCAAAAUUAAUGAAAUGGUGCGCACGUUUAAAAUCUAUUGUGCCUAUUCCAAUAUUUGCUUUGAAAUUUGUUUUCAAGAAAUCUAGAACCUUAACAAAUUACAACCAACAAUCACCUGGUCCAUUCCAUACUUUCUAGAUAGUCUAAAUUUCAAGUUAAGAAGUACAAUUUAAUAUACUAACUCAAUGAUGAUAAGGCAUAAACACAUAAAUAAAGAAAAUUAAAUUAAACUAACUAAUAUGCUCAUGCUAAGAAACAAAGCUUCAUUCUCAUUUGCAACACAAAAAGAAGAACGAAAAAUAAUAUCUUAACCAAAUGUAGAGUAUGACACAACCAGCAAACAAAUCAUGUAUAUCCUCAUUUUUUCAAACAAAAAAAAACGUGAAGUUUAAAAAUUGAGGUAAAAGAAUAUACCUCAUCUUUUCCAAUAAAUGGUACUCCUGUACAUCUAGUCACCAAAUCCACUAUCCACCGAGGGAACACAACUGCUUCCUUCUUCGUCUAGACCGGAACUGAAGCUAGCGAACGGAAAACACUGACGACCUCGAAUUCUAAGUUUUACAAGCAGAACGAG